UGCCAGCAGCCGCGGUAACACGGAGGGCGCGAGCGUUGUUCGGAAUCACUGGGCGUAAAGCGCGCGUAGGCGGUUACGUAAGUCAUUUGUGAAAGCCCGAGGCUCAACUUCGGGACGCCUGGUGAGACUGCGUGACUAGAGCAUGGUAGAGGCAAGUGGAAUUCCCGGUGUAGCGGUGGAAUGCGUAGAUAUCGGGAAGAACACCGGUGGCGAAGGCGACUUGCUGGGCCAUAGCUGACGCUGAGGUGCGAAAGCGUGGGGAGCAAACAGGAUUAGAUA
rnacentral:rRNA from 1 species